rnacentral:rRNA from 1 species
CCUGGUUGAUUCUGCCAGUAGUCAUAUGCUUGUCUCAAAGAUUAAGCCAUGCAUGUCUAAGUAUAAGCAACUAUACUGUGAAACUGCGAAUGGCUCAUUAAAUCAGUUAUCGUUUAUUUGAUAGUACCUUACUACAUGGAUAACCGUGGUAAUUCUAGAGCUAAUACAUGCUAAAAACCUCGACUUCGGAAGGGGUGUGUUUAUUAGAUAAAAAACCAAUGCCCUUCGGGGCUCCCUGGUGAUUCAUAAUAACCUAACGAAUCGCAUGGCCUUGUGCCGGCGAUGGUUCAUUCAAAUUUCUGCCCUAUCAACUUUCGAUGGUAGGAUAGUGGCCUACCAUGGUUUCAACGGGUAACGGGGAAUUAGGGUUCUAUUCCGGAGAAGGAGCCUGAGAAACGGCUACUACAUCCAAGGAAGGCAGCAGGCGCGCAAAUUACCCAAUCCCGACACGGGGAGGUAGUGACAAUAAAUACUGAUACAGGGCUCUUUUGAGUCUUGUAAUUGGAAUGAGUACAAUUUAAAUCCCUUAACGAGGAACAAUUGGAGGGCAAGUCUGGUGCCAGCAGCCGCGGUAAUUCCAGCUCCAAUAGCGUAUAUUAAAGUUGUUGCAGUUAAAAAGCUCGUAGUUGAACCUUGGGCCUGGCUGACCGGUCCGCCUCACCGCGUGCACUGGUUCGGCCGGGCCUUUCCUUCUGGGGAGCCGCAUGCCCUUCACUGGGUGUGUCGGGGAACCAGGACUUUUACUUUGAAAAAAUUAGAGUGUUCAAAGCAGGCCUAUGCUCGAAUACAUUAGCAUGGAAUAAUAGAAUAGGACGUGUGGUUCUAUUUUGUUGGUUUCUAGGACCGCCGUAAUGAUUAAUAGGGAUAGUCGGGGGCAUCAGUAUUCAAUUGUCAGAGGUGAAAUUCUUGGAUUUAUUGAAGACUAACUACUGCGAAAGCAUUUGCCAAGGAUGUUUUCAUUAAUCAGUGAACGAAAGUUAGGGGAUCGAAGACGAUCAGAUACCGUCGUAGUCUUAACCAUAAACUAUGCCGACUAGGGAUCGGGCGAUGUUAUCUUUUUGACUCGCUCGGCACCUCACGAGAAAUCAAAGUUUUUGGGUUCUGGGGGGAGUAUGGUCGCAAGGCUGAAACUUAAAGAAAUUGACGGAAAGGCACCACCAGGCGUGGAGCCUGCGGCUUAAUUUGACUCAACACGGGGAAACUCACCAGGUUAACCACGGUUGUUACGACCUCUGGGCCUGGAAAAGAAGGGGGGUGGCCCACCUCUCUCUAGUGCUUGUCUUUGUCUGUGUGGGGAAGUCCCCUAUUUUGGGCACAGACGCUCCGUAGCGGGAGCGUGACAGGUGCAACACCAGC